GAUGAACGCUGGCGGCGUGCUUAACACAUGCAAGUCGAACGGAAAGGCCUGUACUUGUACAGGUACUCGAGUGGCGAACGGGUGAGUAACACGUGGGUGAUCUGCCCUGCACUGUGGGAUAAGCCCGGGAAACUGGGUCUAAUACCAUAUAGGACCACUUCAUGGAUGUUGUGGUGUAAAGCUUUUGCGGUGUGGGAUGAGCAUGCGGCCUAUAAGCUUGUUGGUGGGGUAAUGGCCUACCAAGGGGGCGACGGGUAUCCGGCCUGAGAGGGUGUACGGACACAUUGGGACUGAGAUACGGCCCAGACUGCUACGGGAGGCAGCAGUGGGGAAUAUUGCACAAUGGGCGCAAGCCUGAUGCAGCGACGCCGCGUGGGGGAUGACGGCCUUCGGGUUGUAAACCCCUUUCGCUAUCGACGAAGCCACCUUGGGUGGUGACGGUAGGUAGAUAAGAAGCACCAGCUAACUACGUGCCAGCCGCCGCGGUAA
rnacentral:rRNA from 1 species